UACGGAGGGUGCAAACGUUGCUCGGAAUCAUUGGGCGUAAAGCGCACGUAGGCGGCUAGAUAAGUCGGGUGUGAAAGCCCUGGGCUCAACCCAGGAAGUGCAUUCGAAACUGUCUAGCUUGAAUCUCGGAGGGGGUCAGAGAAUUCCCGGUGUAGAGGUGAAAUUCGUAGAUAUCGGGAGGAAUACCAGUGGCGAAGGCGGCGAUCUGGGAAGAUACUGACGCUGAGGUGCGAAAGCGUGGGGAGCAAACAGG
rnacentral:rRNA from 1 species